CAUAGGCGAUGAUCCGGAUCACCCCUCCAGCGUGGACCACAAUUCUGUCCCUGACGCUGGCGUCUAGCUGAAGAUCAGAGAGAGAGAAAGAAACAGUGGUGUGAGAGGAACAUCAACUGGUUGUCUCCCAUAUGUGCCCCGACUGGGGACUGAAGCCCGCAACUGAGGUAUGUGCCCUAAUGGGGAAUCAAACCCGUGGCCCUUCAGUUUAUGGGAUGACAUUUGAGUGAGCUGAGCCACACCGUCCAGAGGUAUUUUUUUGAUUUCUUAAUCCAAAAAAUACAGAUAAAUUAAUGGGAUUGAGAAUAACAACUACAUUAUUAGUUAAUCCGUGGUACAAUUCCAUAAUGCAAAUGUUAAUUACCUUUUCCCAUUCUUCUUUUCCUUCUUCUUUAUAUUCAACAAUAUAUCCAGUUACUUUGGAUCCACCAUCUUUUAGUGGAGGAGACCACUCCAAAUCUGCAGUUGACUUGGUCCAGUCUGUGACUUGGGGAAAUGGAGGACCAGGAGGGGCUGGAAAGAACCAGUAUAUGUUAGUAUCUUUGACUUUCCCAUGGCACUUUGGAAAAAUUAAAUUAAAAAAGUGGUUUCAAGGCUUACCAACUGGAUCUCUAGCGGUCACAGGGUCUGAUGGCAGGCUUGCUGGGCCCACGCCAGCAGCAUUGAUGGCAUAUACCCGGAACUGAUAAUCAGAACCUUCGAUAAGACCGGUCACUUUAUAAGAAACCCCCAAAGUCAUGGCUUUGAUAGGAUCUCUGUUAACUCUCUUCCAUCUCUUUGAAGUGGUGUCUUUCAUUUCCAGCCAGUAUCCCGUCACAGGUGAGCCUCCAUCAUAUUCUGGCUCUUCCCAGUUGACAGUCAUGGAGUUACGAGUUACACUGCUGACUGUUGGUUUAUCGGGUGCUCCGGGGACAG